rnacentral:rRNA from 1 species
GACGAAGGUGGCUAGCGUUGCUCGGAUUUACUGGGCGUAAAGGGCUCGUAGGUGGCCAACUAAGUCAGACGUGAAAUCCCUCGGCUUAACCGGGGAACUGCGUCUGAUACUGGAUGGCUAGAGUUUGGGAGAGGGAUGCGGAAUUCCAGGUGUAGCGGUGAAAUGCGUAGAUAUCUGGAGGAACACCGGUGGCGAAGGCGGCAUCCUGGACCAACACUGACGCUGAGGAGCGAAAGCCAGGGGAGCAAACGGG